rnacentral:rRNA from 1 species
UUAAUUUGAGAGUUUGAUCCUGGCUCAGGACGAACGCUGGCGGCGUGCCUAAUACAUGCAAGUCGAACGAACUCUGGUAUUGAUUGGUGCUUGCAUCAUGAUUUACAUUUGAGUGAGUGGCGAACUGGUGAGUAACACGUGGGAAACCUGCCCAGAAGCGGGGGAUAACACCUGGAAACAGAUGCUAAUACCGCAUAACAACUUGGACCGCAUGGUCCGAGCUUGAAAGAUGGCUUUGGCUAUCACUUUUGGAUGGUCCCGCGGCGUAUUAGCUAGAUGGUGGGGUAACGGCUCACCAUGGCAAUGAUACGUAGCCGACCUGAGAGGGUAAUCGGCCACAUUGGGACUGAGACACGGCCCAAACUCCUACGGGAGGCAGCAGUAGGGAAUCUUCCACAAUGGACGAAAGUCUGAUGGAGCAACGCCGCGUGAGUGAAGAAGGGUUUCGGCUCGUAAAACUCUGUUGUUAAAGAAGAACAUAUCUGAGAGUAACUGUUCAGGUAUUGACGGUAUUUAACCAGAAAGCCACGGCUAACUACGUGCCAGCAGCCGCGGUAAUACGUAGGUGGCAAGCGUUGUCCGGAUUUAUUGGGCGUAAAGCGAGCGCAGGCGGUUUUUUAAGUCUGAUGUGAAAGCCUUCGGCUCAACCGAAGAAGUGCAUCGGAAACUGGGAAACUUGAGUGCAGAAGAGGACAGUGGAACUCCAUGUGUAGCGGUGAAAUGCGUAGAUAUAUGGAAGAACACCAGUGGCGAAGGCGGCUGUCUGGUCUGUAACUGACGCUGAGGCUCGAAAGUAUGGGUAGCAAACAGGAUUAGAUACCCUGGUAGUCCAUACCGUAAACGAUGAAUGCUAAGUGUUGGAGGGUUUCCGCCCUUCAGUGCUGCAGCUAACGCAUUAAGCAUUCCGCCUGGGGAGUACGGCCGCAAGGCUGAAACUCAAAGGAAUUGACGGGGGCCCGCACAAGCGGUGGAGCAUGUGGUUUAAUUCGAAGCUACGCGAAGAACCUUACCAGGUCUUGACAUACUAUGCAAAUCUAAGAGAUUAGACGUUCCCUUCGGGGACAUGGAUACAGGUGGUGCAUGGUUGUCGUCAGCUCGUGUCGUGAGAUGUUGGGUUAAGUCCCGCAACGAGCGCAACCCUUAUUAUCAGUUGCCAGCAUUAAGUUGGGCACUCUGGUGAGACUGCCGGUGACAAACCGGAGGAAGGUGGGGAUGACGUCAAAUCAUCAUGCCCCUUAUGACCUGGGCUACACACGUGCUACAAUGGAUGGUACAACGAGUUGCGAACUCGCGAGAGUAAGCUAAUCUCUUAAAGCCAUUCUCAGUUCGGAUUGUAGGCUGCAACUCGCCUACAUGAAGUCGGAAUCGCUAGUAAUCGCGGAUCAGCAUGCCGCGGUGAAUACGUUCCCGGGCCUUGUACACACCGCCCGUCACACCAUGAGAGUUUGUAACACCCAAAGUCGGUGGGGUAACCUUUUAGGAACCAGCCGCCUAAGGUGGGACAGAUGAUUAGGGUGAAGUCGUAACAAGGUAGCCGUAGGAGAACCUGCGGCUGGAUCACCUCCUUUCUAAGGAA